rnacentral:rRNA from 1 species
GCUCUUGACAUUCGGGGUAUGGGCAUUGGAGACGAUGUCCUUCAGUUAGGCUGGCCCCAGAACAGGUGCUGCAUGGCUGUCGUCAGCUCGUGUCGUGAGAUGUUGGGUUAAGUCCCGCAACGAGCGCAACCCUCGCCCUUAGUUGCCAGCAUUUAGUUGGGCACUCUAAGGGGACUGCCGGUGAUAAGCCGAGAGGAAGGUGGGGAUGACGUCAAGUCCUCAUGGCCCUUACGGGCUGGGCUACACACGUGCUACAAUGGUGGUGACAGUGGGCAGCGAGACAGCGAUGUCGAGCUAAUCUCCAAAAGCCAUCUCAGUUCGGAUUGCACUCUGCAACUCGAGUGCAUGAAGUGGAAUCGCUAGUAAUCGCA